UUUCGACCUGAGGUCAGGCAAGAACACCCGCUGAACUUAAGCAUAUCAAUAAGCG
rnacentral:rRNA from 2 species